UCUGUAGCGGGUCUGAGAGGAUGAUCCGCCACACUGGGACUGAGACACGGCCCAGACUCCUACGGGAGGCAGCAGUGGGGAAUAUUGGACAAUGGGGGGAACCCUGAUCCAGCCAUGCCGCGUGUGUGAAGAAGGCCUUUUGGUUGUAAAGCACUUUAAGCGAGGAGGAGGCUACCGAGAUUAAUACUCUUGGAUAGUGGACGUUACUCGCAGAAUAAGCACCGGCUAACUCUGUGCCAGCAGCCGCGGUAAUACAGAGGGUGCAAGCGUUAAUCGGAUUUACUGGGCGUAAAGCGCGCGUAGGUGGCCAAUUAAGUCAAAUGUGAAAUCCCCGAGCUUAACUUGGGAAUUGCAUUCGAUACUGGUUGGCUAGAGUAUGGGAGAGGAUGGUAGAAUUCCAGGUGUAGCGGUGAAAUGCGUAGAGAUCUGGAGGAAUACCGAUGGCGAAGGCAGCCAUCUGGCCUAAUACUGACACUGAGGUGCGAAAGCAUGGGGAGCAAACAGGAUUAGAUACCCUGGUAGUCCAUGCCGUAAACGAUGUCUACUAGCCGUUGGGGCCUUUGAGGCUUUAGUGGCGCAGCUAACGCGAUAAGUAGACCGCCUGGGGAGUACGGUCGCAAGACUAAAACUCAAAUGAAUUGACGGGGGCCCGCACAAGCGGUGGAGCAUGUGGUUUAAUUCGAUGCAACGCGAAGAACCUUACCUGGUCUUGACAUAGUAAGAACUUUCCAGAGAUGGAUUGGUGCCUUCGGGAACUUACAUACAGGUGCUGCAUGGCUGUCGUCAGCUCGUGUCGUGAG
rnacentral:rRNA from 1 species